rnacentral:lncRNA from 1 species
ACCCGGAUCCCCGAAAAGGGAAAGAGAGACCACAUGAUUGUAUGUCUCCUUGCAGGACUCCAAAAGUUUGCCUAUAAAGCGGUAAACUAUAAAAAACUUUCAGAAAUCACCCAAGGUUCCUAACGAAAACCCAGCCCUUUUUCUCUCUGAUUUAGCUGAAGCCAUGAGAAAAUAUACCAACCCAGACCCAGCCAGCCCAAAAAGAACCACUAUUUUAAACCUUCAGUUCGUCUCCCAAUCCACUCCCAAUAUUUGAUGCAAGUUUCAGAAGCUUGACAAUGGCCCUCAAACCCCACAAUGAGACCUUCUUAAUUUAGCCU